GAUGAACGCUGGCGGCGUGCCUAAUACAUGCAAGUCGAGCGAACGGACGAGAAGCUGGCUGCUCUGAUGGUAGCGGCGGACGGGUGAGGAACACGUGGAGAACCUACCUAUAAGACUGGGAUAACUUCGGGAAACCGUAGCUAAUACCGGAUAAUAUUUUGAACCGCAUGGUUCAAAAGUGAAAGACGGUCUUGCUGUCACUUAUAGAUGGAUCCGCGCUGCAUUAGCUAGUUGGUAAGGUAACGGCUUACCAAGGCAACGAUGCAUAGCCGACCUGAGAGGGUGAUCGGCCACACUGGAACUGAGACACGGUCCAGACUCCUACGGGAGGCAGCAGUAGGGAAUCUUCCGCAAUGGGCGAAAGCCUGACGGAGCAACGCCGCGUGAGUGAUGAAGGUCUUCGGAUCGUAAAACUCUGUUAUUAGGGAAGAACAUAUGUGUAAGUAACUGUGCACAUCUUGACGGUACCUAAUCAGAAAGCCACGGCUAACUACGUG
rnacentral:rRNA from 1 species